rnacentral:misc_RNA from 1 species
CGCACAUUGCGCCCCUUGGUAUUCCGAAGGGCAUGCCUGUUUGAGUGUCAUAAAAACAUCAUCUAUUAAUUUAGAUGGACAUGGCCGUCUGCGAUGCUUUAUAGUGUCGCUCGGCUUAAAGAUCUUAGUGACGAUUAAGUGUAAUAAGUUUCACUUUGGUGUUGCUAUCCAACUGCGUCUGACGCACCAUUUUAUCUUCGACCUCAAAUCAGGUAGGACUACCCGCUGAACUUAA